GACGAACGCUGGCGGCGUGCUUAACACAUGCAAGUCGAACGAUGAACCCGGAGCUUGCUCCGGUGGAUUAGUGGCGAACGGGUGAGUAACACGUGAGUAACCUGCCCUUGACUCUGGGAUAACUGCGGGAAACUGUAGCUAAUACCGGAUACGACCCUCGGCGGCAUCGCCAGGGGGUGGAAAGAAUUUCGGUCAAGGAUGGACUCGCGGCCUAUCAGCUAGUUGGUGAGGUAACGGCUCACCAAGGCGACGACGGGUAGCCGGCCUGAGAGGGUGAGCGGCCACACUGGGAAUGAGACACGGCCCAGACUCCUACGGGAGGCAGCAGUGGGGAAUAUUGCACAAUGGGCGCAAGCCUGAUGCAGCAACGCCGCGUGAGGGAUGACGGCCUUCGGGUUGUAAACCUCUUUCAGCACCGACGAAGCGCAAGUGACGGUAGGUGCAGAAGAAGGACCGGCCAACUACGUGCCAGCAGCCGCGGUAA
rnacentral:rRNA from 1 species